CUAUUGAAUUUGUGUGAGGUGACCAAAAUCUUGGCUUGUAUAUAUAGUUCAAGUCCGGCAAUUUCGUGUGCCUUUAAGUCCAAUGAGCGGACUCCGGACGGAUUGAAAUACCGGUAAGCAUCAUAUAAUUGUACAUACAGUUGUCUUAUCUGCAUGAUAUUACUAUACAUGUAUUCUUGCACGAGCUACAUCUUUAUCAAAAGCAAACAAAUUAGCAAAACUUGUUAUCAAUGCAUCACAAG
rnacentral:lncRNA from 1 species